rnacentral:rRNA from 1 species
CUAUUCCUGUUCGCUACCCACGCUUUCGUCCCUCAGCGUCAGUAUAUUGUUAGUAAUCUGCCUUCGCAAUCGGUAUUCUGUGUGAUCUCUAUGCAUUUCACCGCUACACCACACAUUCUAACUACUUCACAAUAACUCAAGUCUUUCAGUAUCAAAGGCAAUUCUACAGUUGAGCUGUAGGAUUUCACCUCUGACUUAAAAGACCGCCUACGGACCCUUUAAACCCAAUGAUUCCGGAUAACGCUUGGAUCCUCCGUAUUACCGCGGCUGCUGGCACGGAGUUAGCCGAUCCUUAUUCGUACAGUACCGUCAAAUACCUACACGUAGGUAUAUUUCUUCCUGUAUAAAAGCAGUUUACAACCCAUAGGGCAGUCUUCCUGCACGCGGCAUGGCUGGAUCAGAGUUGCCUCCAUUGUCCAAUAUUCCUCACUGCUGCCUCCCGUAGGAGUCUGGUCCGUGUCUCAGUACCAGUGUGGGGGGUCUCCCUCUCAGGACCCCUACCUAUCGAAGUCUUGGUAAGCCGUUACCUUACCAACUAACUAAUAGGACGCAUGCCCAUCUUCUACCGCCGGAGCUUUCUUCUUUAAAUAAUGCUAUUCAAAGAUCGUAUGGGGUAUUAUUCAACAUUUCUAUUGACUAUCCCCCUGUAGAAGGUAGGUUGCAUACGCGUUACGCACCCGUGCGCCGGUCGUCAGCGGAUUGCAAGCAAUCCCUGUUACCCCUCGACUUGCAUGUGUUAAGCCUGCCGCUAGCGUUCAUCCUGAGCCAGGAUCAAACUCU